CCUACGGGAGGCAGCAGUGGGGAAUAUUGCACAAUGGGGGAAACCCUGAUGCAGCGACGCCGCGUGAGUGAAGAAGUAAUUCGUUAUGUAAAGCUCUAUCAGCAGGGAAGAAAAUGACGGUACCUGAGUAAGAAGCCCCUUCUAACUACGUGCCAGCAGCCGCGGUAAUACGUAGGGGGCAAGCGUUAUCCGGCUGUACUGGGUGGAAAGGGAGCGUAGACGGCAGUGCAAGUCUGGAGGGAAAGGCGGGGGCUCAACCCCCGGACUGCACUGGAAACUGUACGGAUGGAGUGCAGGAGAGGUAAGUGGAAUUCCUGGUGUAGCGGUGAAAGGCGUAGAUAUUAGGAGGAACACCAGUGGCGAAGGCGGCUUACUGGACUGUAACUGACGUUGAGGCUCGAAAGCGUGGGGAGCAAACAGGAUUAGAGACCCCUGUAGUC
rnacentral:rRNA from 1 species